GAUGUGCUAAUACCGCAUACGUCCUGAGGGAGAAAGCGGGGGAUCGCAAGACCUCGCGCGUGAGGAGCGGCCGAUAUCGGAUUAGCUAGUUGGUGGGGUAAAGGCUCACCAAGCCAACGAUCUGUAGCUGGUCUGAGAGGACGACCAGCCACACUGGAACUGAGACACGGUCCAGACUCCUACGGGAGGCAGCAGUGGGGAAUUUUGGACAAUGGGCGCAAGCCUGAUCCAGCCAUUCCGCGUGCAGGAUGAAGGCCUUCGGGUUGUAAACUGCUUUUGUACGGAACGAAACGGUCUGCCCUAAUACGGCGGGCUAAUGACGGUACCGUAAGAAUAAGCACCGGCUAACUACGUGCCAGCAGCCGCGGUAAUACGUAGGGUGCAAGCGUUAAUCGGAAUUACUGGGCGUAAAGCGUGCGCAGGCGGUUAUAUAAGACAGAUGUGAAAUCCCCGGGCUCAACCUGGGAACUGCAUUUGUGACUGUAUAGCUAGAGUACGGCAGAGGGGGAUGGAAUUCCGCGUGUAGCAGUGAAAUGCGUAGAUAUGCGGAGGAACACCGAUGGCGAAGGCAAUCCCCUGGGCCUGUACUGACGCUCAUGCACGAAAGCGUGGGGAGCAAACAGGAUUAGAUA
rnacentral:rRNA from 1 species